UGGACAAGCAAAAAGCCAGACGAUGCCGACGCAAGCUGAUAGUGCCGUUGAAAGUCUCCAUUGUUGAAAGGUCAAGCCAUCAGGGGGGGUACUCUGCUCCACUUCACCCAACGCCAUAGACGACCCGGUGGUGAGUCGAGACCCUGCCGACUCUGCCGACUCGCGACGCCAGCGCGGCGUGGAGGAAUAUGAGGGCCGAAGAAAAUAAUAUUUUUCAAAGCGCAACACGCCGCUGCACGCGGGGGUCGGUCUCUCCGCGUCCGUAACGCGUCCCUCACAAGUUUGACGGCUUCGCACGGCCUGACAACUCAUUUUCUGGUGUCCUGAUGAAGUGGACCCGGGCUCUACAAUCCCAGCACUACGUCAGAAGUCCUACACAAGGGCCCCAGCAGAUAUACACAUAUCAGCUGGCAUACACAAAUGGGCCCCAGAAGAUAAACACACAAGGGCCCCGAAAGUCCUACCCACAUCGUCUUUCCCUCUAUAUUCGCCUAACGAUAUACAUAGGGAGGGAGGGAGGGAGGGAGGGAAGAGGGGAAAGAGAGAGAGAGAGAGAGAGAGAGUCGAGCAUGGGAAGUGCCAGGCAGCCAUGCGGGCCAUCCAGAGGCACCACUGGGCUCAACUCUUUACGCAACUGAUUAGUCAUACUUUUCACAAAGUUAUCAGAACAAAUCCUAGUUUGGGGGAACCAGCGCCCAGUUGACAACGCUCAAUUACGUGCACCAUAAAUGAAGUUAACCUAUGAAUAAACAAAGUAGAGGCAGAUGGCGGACUUUAUCCAUAUAAUACUUUUUUAGUCAAUAUUUGCUGUACUACCGAAAAGAGUUGUAUGGUUCCUCCCUUCUAGAUGGAGACUAAAUGAGAC
rnacentral:lncRNA from 1 species